ensembl:snRNA U2 U2 spliceosomal RNA
AUCGCUUCUCAGCCUUUGGCUAAGAUCAAGUGUAGUAUAUGUUCUUAUCAGUUUAAUAAAGAUGUCCAUGUACCCUGAAUUAAUCUAUAUACUUAAUAUUAUUUUAAAUAUAUUUAAAUUAC